UAUAUUAUUAUUUUGGAACAUUUUUAUAUAUAUUUUCUCCAACAGUCAAAGAUAUUGUUCAUUCUAUACACGGGGCGUCUUCUGCUUUAGCACCGCUAAUUUCAAUGGUUUUGACGUUCCACCUAACACACCGAUUCCCACUGUUUCUCUUAUCUUACUUCUUCCAACUUCUAGAUGCCUCCCCCUCCACUGCCUACUACUCCUUUAUUCCGUUUCCUUUCGUCGCUUCCAUUUUCUCUCCUAAAUAUGCAACAGUGCUUUUGAUAUGUGUUUUUCCUAAUCGACCCAUAAAUGUUUAUGUCGGUUCUCCCAUCUGCUUAAUCAAUACCUCUUCCAUCGAAGAACCACAACUAACAGAGAUGGCGACCCCCGGUUACUGAUUAUGACCACCGACUCCGACUAUUUUCGUCUUGAUUGCUUAUCUGAAGACAUCAUAGCUUCCGAUGUCUUGAUUCGGUUUCCUCCUUACCGUCUCCCCUACCUCCAGUGUCAUCCAAUCGAAUGUUUAGAGUGACAUUUAUACCAAUUUGAUCUCCAUGAAACUGAUUUUAUACGGUAUGUGGAACUGUACUUUCGAUUUCAUCUGGUCUUCCAUCUAAUUUUUGUGUACUGCGCUCGGGUGACCAUCUCCUGCAUCCGCAAGGGUUCUUCGAAAAGGUGUGUGUUGGUUGGCGCCGAAUUCUGGGAUUUCUUUGAUAACUGAUCCUUUUGAUGCGUCGGUAGUCUCGACAUUGAUGUUGUGAAUAAAGAAGUUAUUUCUCGCAAUUUUCCAUUAGAUGUUGAAUAUUAUCGAGCAAUUGGAACCCAACUCUUGAUUUACAAGCUAUGGACAGGGCUCAUCGGUUGGGUCAAACCAAAGAUGUUAUAGUGUACAGGUUGAUAUGUUAUCAGUGAUUUCAUCAGCAGACAUUAACAAUUCAUCAAAGUUCAAAUAUAAAGGUGAAGGACAUUACUAUCCAAAACAAAGUUAGAACUUCCUUCUCAUGUCAAAAAGUGAAGAUUAUGAUAUGAAGCUUAUUCAUUUUGUUCUUUAUGAUCUCAUCUGUCCAGUUAAGCAUUUCAAUCACAUAACGAAAUGAUGCACACCAGGUGUUUGAUCUUUUGCUUAUUGUCUAUGUCUUUGAUAUUUUUUUUGCAAGUUUCUCCACUGGUAUGUAUCAACAAAAAAAAACAAGUUGUUUUAAAGUUACUGAUCAUAUACACAAAUUGUUUGGUGCUAUUGGUGGAUUGUAGGUAGUUAUUUAAUACACAACUUCCAAUUUUAAAUUAUAAAUUGUUGAAAUAAAUGUACAUACAUAAAAGAAUUGACAAGCAUUCAUCAUCUUCCUGCUCAUCUGCUCUUCCUCAAAGGUUAGUUUUUCGUUUAUUUCUCUGUAUAUAUGUCAGUAUGCUCUUUUUGUACCAAGUUUGCGUUAAUUCAUUGUGUAUGUGAAAGUGUCUUUUUCAUGCAAUUGCUAAGGAACAAAUUUGUGCAUAAGAUUUUUUUGACUUCUAUUUUAAUUUAUUGAGAGUUGUAAGGCGAAAUUUCGAGGUUGUUUGAUUUAAGAUAACUUUUUUUAUAAGCCGAAAUCAUGAGGUUAAGAUUGACAUUUUCAAGUGAAAAAAGAGCAAUGUACUUUCUGAUUAAUGUUGGUUUGUAAUUCAGAUCCCUUUAUCUCAGUGUAUGUUCUUUUAACUUUUUUAUCUCUACAUAAAUUUUAAGCAUCAUAUCUUCAAAUUUGACGAAGAUUAUCAAUUGUGAUUCUGGUCAGGUAUUGAAACCCUUUUCAUGAAUAACAGUAUAAGUGAGUAGUUUUCAACUUAAAAAAAAAUCGUUUUGACAACAUUGAUCUGCUUAUCAAUUUGUGUGUGCGUGUGUGUAUGCUUUUUUUUUUAAUGGUAAAAAACGGGCUGGAAGGAACUUAACGAGAAGCAUUUCUUUCAAUUUGACCAUGUUGAGCCAUUUAAGACAAUUAUAUGUUUUACUCUCCACAUUUUAAUUGGUUUUUAAACAUAAUGUGCAGUUUGAAGCAAGUGUUUUCAUUCUUGAUUUUAACGGAUGCCCAGUUUUUUUUCCGUUUUUAGGCCUACAACUAACUUGACAUCAUUCCAUAUUUGGAAUUGGUGCAGGUUUUUCUUCAAAAUCAGGAACCUGUAUUAUGCUAUUAAAGGGCAAUUUGGUCAAUCUUUGUUCAACCUUAAAGAUUGAAAGUUAUUACAUAGUUUUGUGACCAUGAAAGGGCAAAAUUAGAAUAACAAAUGAAAAAGGGAAACAACAAAAGAAGUAAAAGGUUUUUAAACACUUUUAGACAGGUUUGGUUAAUGCUCCAAGGGCAUUUUUCUUUCUUGACUCCUCAAGUUUUUUCUGAGUUUAUCAUUGGGCUGUUCAUUUCUCUUAAUUAUCAUUUAAUGGAUCAGGGGCAUUUUCACUAAAGUGCUAUUUUUCUGCUUACCGUUGUUUUUCACUUUUGGCUAGCUAGCAAUUGGUUUGAAGUUAAUGUUUUUUAAAGCCCGAAUGAAUGCAUUCAGAUGCAAACCAUAUACGUAUUUGUCUUUCCUUUUUUUUUUUUUUUUUUUUCUGUCUCAGUUAACGUUUUUAAAUGGUAUGUAAAGGUUGUUGAGAAUGUUAGAUCAAUUACUAGCCAUGUUCUAAUUGGCAAAACAUGUCCUUUUCCCUUUGUGGUGACAAAAUUCUCCUUUAAAUUGUGGAAUACAUUUAUUGUUAUUAUUUAAUUUCAAAUUAUGUAAUAUGACAACAUUUUCUCUCCCCGUUUGUUAUGUGCAGCUUGCUAAUUUUAUGGGUCGUUUCCACUGGUUAACAUCUCCCUGAAAGGGCUAAGGAGAGGUUGCAAAAGAGGGUGGUCGUCAAUUUUCUCACAAGGGUAAAGGGAUGUUGGAUCGAUUGGAGAACAAAGAGGUUGUGAGGUUACAUACACAUUAUUGAAUCAACGGUUUUAUUUGCUCAUUCAUGAACCGUUAAGGGACUAUAGUUUUCUUUUUUAUGUUUUUCAUUACUAUUUGUGUAUGCUAUAUAUUUGAUAUGGUAUGGCAGGCUUUCAAUUUGGUUUC